rnacentral:rRNA from 1 species
GACGAACGCUGGCGGCGUGCUUAACACAUGCAAGUCGAACGGAAAGGCCCUGCUUUUGUGGGGUGCUCGAGUGACGAACGGGUGAGUAACACGUGAGUAACCUGCCCUUGACUUUGGGAUAACUUCAGGAAACUGGGGCUAAUACCGGAUAGGAGCUCCUGCUGCAUGGUGGGGGUUGGAAAGUUUCGGCGGUUGGGGAUGGACUCGCGGCUUAUCAGCUUGUUGGUGGGGUAGUGGCUUACCAAGGCUUUGACGGGUAGCCGGCCUGAGAGGGUGACCGGCCACAGUGGGACUGAGAUACGGCCCAGACUCCUACGGGAGGCAGCAGUGGGGAAUAUUGCACAAUGGGCGGAAGCCUGAUGCAGCAACGCCGCGUGCGGGAUGACGGCCUUCGGGUUGUAAACCGCUUUCGCCUGUGACGAAGCGUGAGUGACGGUAAUGGGUAAAGAAGCACCGGCUAACUACGU